UACAGAGGGGGCAAGCGUUAUUCGGAAUUAUUGGGCGUAAAGGGCGCGUAGGCGGCUUUGCAAGUGACGGGUGAAAUCCCUCGGCUUAACCGAGGAACUGCCUGUCAAACUGCAUGGCUUGAGACCGGGAGAGGUGAGUGGAAUUCCCAGUGUAGCGGUGAAAUGCGUAGAUAUUGGGAGGAACACCUGUGGCGAAAGCGGCGCACUGGACCACAACUGACGCUGAGGCGCGAAAGCUAGGGGAGCAAACAGG
rnacentral:rRNA from 1 species